GAGAGCUCAUCGGCUGCGCAAAAGGGCGAGGCCGAUGGCGACGUGCUCCCGCCCACUCUUCUCCGUCCCCGCCGCCGCCGCCUCCCCGUCGCCGGCCGUGACCCGUCGGGGCGCUCGUCUCCUACGGCUGCACACGGUGGCAGUUGUUUCCACAUGGGAACCUCGUAGUCAUCGGUGUGCUCACAUGAAUCUGUGCUGCAAGGCAACGAGGAGAACCAGCAGUGAUUUAACAACUGGACAGCAUAUCUCCGCAUUGCCGCGGGCAGUGAAGAGAAUGCUGUCAAGCUAUGCAUCCCUGCUGAUGAGUCUGCGUGGUAAUCUUGCGAAAGGCUAUAAGGCAGCCAAGCCCUUUCUGUCGAUUGGCUUUGGCCGUGUGGUUUUGGGUGUGGUGCUUGUUAUGUCUGUAUCUGCAGCCACCUAUACAUCACCUUCAUCAUCGGCGCUCACUGAGGAAAAUUUGCUUUUCCUGGAGGCUUGGCGUGCAGUUGAUCGUGCGUAUUAUGACAAAUCGUUCAAUGGGCAGAGUUGGUUUAGAUACCGUGAAACUGCUCUUCGCAAUGAACCAAUGAAUACGCGGGAAGAGACAUAUGCUGCAAUAAAGAAAAUGCUUUCAACAUUGGACGACCCAUUCACUCGUUUCUUGGAACCCGAGAAAUUCAAGAGUUUGCGGGAAGUCUGGCUCGCAAGGCACACUCACGGGUGUAGGUUUGUCGAUUGGCUACCCAAUGGCGCUUAAUGGAUCACCUUCAGGGCUUGCUGUCAUGUCAGCCACCCCAGGAGGUCCUGCAGAAAAGUCUGGUAUUCUUACUGGAGAUAUUAUAUUGGCAAUUGACAACAGAAGCACAGAAGACAUGGAUAUAUAUGAUGCAGCAGAACGCUUACAGGGCCCUGAAGGAAGCUCAGUGGAUUUGGACAUUCGUAGUGGCUCCAAUACCAGGCAUGUUGUUGUGAAGUAAGCUCCUUCUCGUGAUACCCUCAUAGAUUUGGAGAGCAAAGAGUCAUUUCGUUUCAUUAGUUGUUGCAUUAUUUGAUUUAUCAUAGGAGACAAAAGGUCACUUUAAACCCAGUAAGGUCGAGGAUGUGUGAAAUUCCAGGUGCAAAAGAUAACUCAAAGAUUGGUUACAUUAAAUUGACAACUUUCAACCAGAACGCCGCAGGUUAGUGACUUUGAGUUGAUUCUGAUGCCUUUAUAAAACACCAUAUGUUUCCUUAGAUGUUAUUUCCUGCUGAUCAUAUUAAUCGGUCAUCUUCUCCCAGGAUCUGUUAAGGAAGCUCUUAAGAAAUUAAGGGACAAUGAUGUGAAGUCUUUUGUAUUGGAUCUGCGAAAUAACAGCGGUGGUCUUUUUCCUGAAGGAAUUGAAAUUGCAAAGAUUUGGAUGGACAAGGGUGUUAUUGUGUAUAUAUGUGAUAGCCAAGGUGUUCGUGACAUCUAUGAGGCAGAUGGAAUCAGUACGGUUGCGGCAUCGGAGCCUUUAGUUGUGCUGGUAAACAAAGGGACUGCAAGCGCAAGUGAGAUCCUUGCUGGGGCACUGAAGGACAACAAAAGGGCAGUGAUAUAUGGGGAGCCAACAUACGGGAAAGGGAAGAUCCAGUCGGUGUUUGCGUUAUCUGACGGCUCUGGCUUAGCUGUGACCGUUGCUCGCUAUGAAACUCCUGCCCAUACGGACAUAGACAAGAUCGGCGUGAUCCCGGACCGUCCGCUGCCGGCGUCAUUCCCCACGGAUGAAGACGCCUUCUGCAGCUGCCUCAGGGACUCCAGCUCUGCCUGCAACCUUAACGCUGCUCAGCUGUUCACAAGAUGAUGCGUCUGGAACGGAGAAGCCCAUUUUGGCCGGUUUUUUGUUCACAUUUUGGAGUGGCCGAGUUCCAUCGGUCCAUGUUCAUUGUUCAUUUUGUUUGAAAAUUUGUCUAGAAUCCCAAAUUUACCUUAGCUGGUGGAACUGUGCUGGUAUGUGUCGCUGUAAAAAUCAUGUGUAACUGUAGAUCAUUUUUUUUUAAUUUGCGUGA